GUGAAGAACGUAGCAAAAUGCGAUAAGUAAUGUGAAUUGCAGAAUUCAGUGAAUCAUCGAAUCUUUGAACGCACAUUGCGCCCGCCAGUAUUCUGGCGGGCAUGCCUGUUCGAGCGUCAUUUCAACCCUCGAGCCCCCCCGGGGGCCUCGGUGUUGGGGGACGGCACACCAGCCGCCCCCGAAAUGCAGUGGCGACCUCGCCGCAGCCUCCCCUGCGUAGUAGCACACACCUCGCACCGGAGCGCGGAGACGGUCACGCCGUAAAACGCCCAACUUCUUAGAGUUGACCUCGGAUCAGGUAGGAAUACCCGCUGAACUUAAGCAUAUCAAUAAGCGGAGGA
rnacentral:misc_RNA from 1 species